UACGAAGGGGGGCUAGCGUUGCUCGGAAUCACUGGGCGUAAAGGGUGCGUAGGCGGGUCUUUUAAGUCAGGGGUGAAAUCCUGGAGCUCAACUCCAGAACUGCCUUUGAUACUGAAGAUCUUGAGUUCGGGAGAGGUGAGUGGAACUGCGAGUGUAGAGGUGAAAUUCGUAGAUAUUCGCAAGAACACCAGUGGCGAAGGCGGCUCACUGGCCCGAUACUGACGCUGAGGCACGAAAGCGUGGGGAG
rnacentral:rRNA from 1 species